rnacentral:sRNA from 1 species
AGCUCGACCGGGUCCACACCGCGGGUGACGGUCAGAUAGUCACGGAUCGCGAUGCCGUGCCGGCCCUC